GACGAACGCUGGCGGCGUGCUUAACACAUGCAAGUAGAACGCAAAGGCCCUGCCUUUGUGGUGUGCUCGAGUGGCGAACGGGUGAGUAACACGUAGGUAACCUGCCCUUGACUGUGGGAUAACUACAGGAAACUGGAGCUAAUACCGCAUAAGAGCACCUGCUGCAUGGCAUGGGCUGGAAAGGUUCGACGGUUUGGGUUGGACUCGCGGCUUCGCUGCUUGAUGGUGGGGUAGUGGCGUACCAAGGCUUUGACGGGUAGCCGUCCUGAGAGGGUGACCGGCCACAUUGGGACUGAGAUACGGCCCAGACUCCUACGGGAGGCAGCAGUGGGGGAUAGUGCACAAUGGGCGGAAGCCGUAUGCAGCAACGCCGCGUGCGGGAUGACGGCCUUCGGGUUGUAAACCGCUUUCGCCUGGGAAGAAGAGUGAGUGACGGUAAUGGGUAAAGAAGCACCGGCUAACUACGUG
rnacentral:rRNA from 1 species